GACGAACGCUGGCGGCGUGCCUAAUGCAUGCAAGUCGCACGCGGCACCUUCGGGUGCUGAGUGGCGAACGGCUGAGGAACACGUGGGGACCUGUCCGGGAGUGGGGGACAACACCGCGAAAGCGGUGCUAAUCCCGCAUACGCUCUGAGGAGGAAAGCCGAAAGGCGCUCCCGGGUGGCCCUGCGGCCCAUCAGGUUGUUGGUGGGGUAACGGCCUACCAAGCCAAUGACGGGUCGCUGGUCUGUGAGGACGACCAGCCAGACUGGGACUGGGACACGGCCCAGACUCCUACGGGAGGCAGCAGCAAGGAAUUUUCGGCAAUGGGCGCAAGCCUGACCGAGCAACGCCGCGUGCAGGAAGACGGCCUUCGGGUUGUAAACUGCUUUUGCUAGGGAUGAUAACAGACAGUACCUGGCGAAUCAGCCCCGGCUAACUCUGUGC
rnacentral:rRNA from 1 species